rnacentral:rRNA from 1 species
GACUUGACGGUAUUUCGAACCCACCUAGAGGAGCCUGUCCUAUAAUCGACAAUACACGAUCCACCCAACCACCUUUUGCCCUAAGCAGCCUGUAUACCGCCGUCGCAAGCUUAGCCCAUGAGGGACAAGAACCUAGCACAAUAACUCACUUCUGAGCUAGUACGUCAGGUCAAGGUGCAGCCAAUAAGUUGGUAGAGAUGGGCUACAUUUUCUACAUCAUAGAAAUUGGUCACGGAGAGGCCUGUGAAA